ensembl:lncRNA schwannomin-interacting protein 1-like
UACUUAUUCAGCCCGUCUCUCUCCACCCCUCCUCUCUCUGUGUCCCUACUGAAAAGCCGUGAAAUUCCUGAAGGUUUACGCUUUUGUUUCGAUUGUUUUGGCGCAAGAAUUCGUGGAUUUCUUGGAGAUGCUCGGCUACUAACCAGCUAUAACAUUAGGCUACUAAAGUACAUUUGCCACUGGUUGUAACUUCAAAGCCGCGUAAACAAGCUUCCCAUAAUCUUGCAGUUCAACACCCUUCUCCCGUUACAGUGAGCGAGAAGUUGAGAUAAAGGAACGGGGAAUGAAAAAAAGUGUGGAAACUCAGGAAGAAGGAGGGGGAGAAGGAAGGAGAAUAAAGGGAAACUAGGAAGAGUUUUCGCUCAAGGAAGCGAGAGAAAGUUAUGUGGACACAAGAAUCCUCUCCCCCGUUUUGACAGCGCAAGAAGCUGUGAUUUCUACUCCCCUGGGAAAUUGAGCGGAGUGAAGUCUACCCACGCUGGCACUCUCUGCCACUGACACAAGAGAUGGAGGGAGAGAAGGAGAAAGAGAGGGAGCGGGGAGAGGAGAAAGAGAGCGACGAGACGGAGGAAGAGGAGAAACAGAGCGACGAGGCUGAAGAGGAAGAUGAUGAUGCGGAAGGAGCGGCGUUGGUGUGGCAGGAGGGGUCCUACGGAGAGGAUGACCUGGGCCUACCCAUAAUGCAUUGGGAGGCGCUGAGCCUGCGCAUCGCAGAGCUGGAGAAACAGGAAGAGGAAAAGAGAGAGAAGAAAACAAAGUCUUCCAGUGUCCUGGAACGAGGUAAGAAAUUGUCAGCAAGCCGGCCGGAGGAGAGAGAGAGAGGGAAGACGCUGUCCAUGAACCGGCCAGGAGACAGGGAGCAAGGGAAGAGUAAGGAGAGCUGGGAGGACGGAGGCGAGGAGGACUGCAAUAGCCGCGUGACAGCCCUAACUUCUCGUCUUUCGAAUCAGAUGAACCUCCAGCUGUGCUUCAUCAAUGACAGCGGAAGCGAAGAAGAGGAUGAGGAUACUGGCAAAAAAGUUAGCGUGAAGAAUUCCAAAAUGGUUGGUAAGAGCAGUCCCAGUGGGCAGGUGUGCCAGCAGCCAAAGUUCCCUGCCCCCCCUGCAGCCAAGAGCAAAUCAUCAGGCUUCAAGGCUGCGCUGAGCGCACUCAGAAACAAGCUGAGGACUGAGCAGAAACAGGAGAGCCCAGCUUGUUGUAAUCAGCUGUUGAAGAAUAGAAGACUGGACCGUAGUGACCUGCAAGCCUUCAGUCUCAAAGAGCUCAACGUCCACCAAAACUCUCUCAACAAGGCUAUACAAGACCUUAGCACAGAGCUGGUGGUUCAUCUACAGACUCGGGACCAGCUGAGGACAGAACAGGAUGCUAUGCUGCUGGAGGUACAGGAUAUGACAUCACUCUGACGUCACCUUAGAAUCACAUAUAGAAACCUGACCAAGAUGGCUGCCAUUAUCAGCACAAUCUUAGAGCUAUGCAGGUCUAUGACAAGCCACUCUUGCGUAUUAUAUACUCUAUGGACGACACUUUCAGAAGGCCCAUCACCAUAGAAUAAUUCGAAUCAUUCUAAGUUCUACGGUCGUCGUCUAAUAAAAUGGAAUCCCGGUGUUAGAGAUCAGGUCACAAUCAGUCAAUGACGGACACCGGUGCUUGAAAUUAAUGGACGAAUCAAAUCAAUGUGAAGAGACUGCAUCACUCCUAAAUACUUUUUGGAUUGAAUUGCACAGCAUUUUGUUUUUAUUUCCCAGUGAGCAAAACUGGUUGAAAUGACGUCAUCACACCCAGUUUCACAUUCGUUAUGACAUCAUAUCAACCCGGUUUUGCUCUGUCUUUUUCUGUGUUUUUAUAAAGGGAAACGUGUAUGUCUGGACUGUUAAUGUUGUUGUGUUGUAGUGUUUUAGGGGGAAAAUGACGGUAAUAUUAUAAGGGAUUAAUAAGCUGCUAUUGCUGCCCAUGGAUCAGUCUAGUUCUAAUGUCCACUGUCAUCCACAUGGUGAAAUGCAAUGAUUGUUUGGUAGCACAUUAUUUGAACUGUACGUCAUACGGUAUCAUAACAAAUGUCCGAAGAUUUCCUGUCAUUGAGCGUUACGACGUCGAGUUUGAAUAAAGUGUUACCCGGUUGUUUUUAUUCUUGUUGCUGGGACACGUUUCAUUGUUUGUUUUGAUUUGUACGUUGCUACGUCUUCUAUUCUCGUCUAUGUUUUAAUGUAUGUAUGAUGAUCGUUGAAUGAGUCAGUCAGAGAAAGGGGCAUUACUAACCAAACACACACACACAGUAAUGCGAGCACAGCUCAACUCAAUGACUUGGGUCUAUUUGAGAUAGCAGGAAGUGUAAAAGGAAUGGAGUACUAUAUUAACCUGCAUACUGUUGUAAUAUGACAACAAUGUACCUACCAGCCGACCGACAAGAUGCCUGACCAAGCCUCAUUCGUUUGGUACUGUUGUCAUAAAACAGCAACACAAACACACAGACACACACACAAGGAGCAUUGGGAUUUUGUGUGGGUUACAUGAGUUUGACAUCACUGUUGACUUUGUUUUAUUCUACAAUAAUUUUGCAUGAAAUAAACAGGUUGUCAAGGAUACAUAUUGUAUGUAGGUGUGCUAGUGCUGCUUUGUAUGUAUGUAUGUACCUGUAUCUAGAGACGGAUUAAGUGUACAUGUACAGUAGCUAUUUACAUAAUGUAUUUAGCACAGAUGUAAAUUGUAUACAUUGCCGUGUGUGUGUGUGUGUGUGUGUGUGUGUGUGUGUGUGUGUGUGUGUGUGUGUGUGUGUGUGUGUGUGUGUGUGUGUGUGUGUGUGUGUGUGUGUGUGUGUGUGUGUGUGUGACUUCAGCCCUGGUUAGAGUUUGCCUUAGCCAAAUGUCUAGAUCAGCAGAAU